rnacentral:lncRNA from 1 species
AAACAUUAUGCUGUCUAGAAUGAAGAAAAAUGCAGUGAAGAGACCCCUGAUGUAAUGAGUUUUCAGAAUUACAGAGACAAAGAUGCAUAUCAGGAAGAUGACAGAAAUGGAUGGGAUAAUAUCACCACACAGUUGCAGGCAUCAUUUUAUAGUACAGACAAUUGACGUAUUUUCGGGAGAAAGAAUGAACGUGGCAUACGGCAUACCAAAAAUGAUCACUGAGGAGGUGAAGGCCACCACCAGGUCAGAAAAACAGGCCUCAGUUUUGAUCUGUUUGUGAUUAAUUAAUUAGUACGAGCUUAUGGAGAUGACCCAGACAGUCUGAGGAGUGGAGAACUAUUACAUGUGAAAGCGUGAACAGAAGUGGGACAUAUUUAGAGUCAAGGCUGGAUUUCUGGCAAGGAUGAUGCAGGAUUCGAAGGAGAACCAGCAGAGAGACUUCAGGUGGGUCAUGGGCUGAAGAUAAGAGAGCCAAGGGAAGUAGGGGACUGGAUAGGUCAGUUCUCUUAUUCAUCUGGUAAGGCCUGGAGAGCAGAGAAUAGAAUAG